rnacentral:rRNA from 1 species
AGUGGCGGACGGGUGAGUAACGCGUGAGAAUCUGCCUUGGGGUCGGGGACAACCACUGGAAACGGUGGCUAAUACCGGAUACGCCUUCGGGUAAAAGAUUUAUUGCCCUAAGAGGAGCUCGCGUCUGAUUAGCUAGUUGGUGAGGUAAGAGCUCACCAAGGCAGCGAUCAGUAGCUGGUCUGAGAGGACGAUCAGCCACACUGGGACUGAGACACGGCCCAGACUCCUACGGGAGGCAGCAGUGGGGAAUUUUCCGCAAUGGGCGAAAGCCUGACGGAGCAAGACCGCGUGAGGGAGGAAGGCUCUUGGGUUGUAAACCUCUUUUCUCAGGGAAGAAGCUCUGACGGUACCUGAGGAAUCAGCCUCGGCUAACUCCGUGCCAGCAGCCGCGGUAAUACGGAGGAGGCAAGCGUUAUCCGGAAUUAUUGGGCGUAAAGCGUCCGCAGGUGGCGAUUCAAGUCUGCUGUCAAAGCACGGGGCUUAACUCCGUAAAGGCAGUGGAAACUGAAUAGCUAGAGUGCCGUAGGGGUAGAGGGAAUUCCCGGUUUAGCGGUGAAAUGCGUAGAGAUCGGGAAGAACAUCGGUGGCGAAAGCGCUCUACUGGACGGCAACUGACACUCAGGGACGAAAGCUAGGGGAGCGAAUGGGAUUAGAUACCCC